rnacentral:lncRNA from 10 species
UGGACCCAGGGGUGGGGAUGGGGGUGAGCUGGAGAGGGGAGGACUAGGUGUGGGAAACAGUGAAUAUUGAGUCAGAGAGAAAAAAGAGGCUUCAAGUGUCCUCCCCAGUGAGGAGGCCUCCGCAGAAUGACCCGAUGAAGAGACCUCCUCUCUCUGAAUGCAGGGAGGGCUAGAGAUGCAGAUAUGCAUAAGCGCAUGGUGCUGAGGAUGGAGUGACUGAGCCCUUGACUGCAGCUCCCUUCAGAGACUGCAGUUUACUGGCUGCACACAGUCUGGUGUGGGGAGGACAAUUUUUCCCUGUGAAGCCUGCCAGGAUAUAAAGAUGUUUAAUUGGACAACCUUAUUCAUUCAGCUGUGACUUGCAGAAGGAUCUGAGCAGGUUUCAGAUAGUAGCUGAACAUGGCAUAGAAAUUUAGGAAUUUCUCUUCCUCAACAACCCCACCUGACACAAGCAUCAGCCACGGUGAGCUUGGCGAUGAUCUCCCUUCCCCUUUGCUACGGAGCUGGUUUGGAUUAAAGUCACAUACAAACUGAGCCAUCUCCAACAUCUACAUCAGGAAGUAACUCUAACUCAAGAUAGAGGUCACUGGAGGGGCAACAGGUGCUGAGAUGUCUAUGCAGGCAAGUCUGAGGUUAGCCUCCCAGAGUUUCGGGGAAAAGCACACAGGCAUUCCUGAACACUCUGAGAGGUGCAGAAAAGUGGCUGAGCAGACAGACACAAGGUCUGGCAUGGAGGCAGAGGAUCACAGCGGAGCAUGGACCUAACAGCUGGAUGCCGUGUGGUGAUAUCACUAUCAGCAGAAGAUGCAACAAGACCGGGGCCACUGCUCAAGGCCAGAGAAACAGGUUUGUAGGGGCCAGUGGGUCAGCGGUGACCAUAGAAGACAGUCUUCUCUACUUUGAUAGCAAAACAAUGCGUAAGGCACCUGAGGAACUCAGAUUACAACCAGGGAGAAGAAAAUCAGAGGUACAAGGUGGGAUGCAUCCUGAAUUGGUAGAGGAGAUACCCCAGAGUGUUCUACCAGAGUUGACAGAAUUACCUUGAAUAAAUAAGAAGAAGGUAUUUUAUUACCAACAGUCUCAUGGGCUAAGUUUAAGUACAGAGGAAUAAAGUUAUAUCUUUACACACUUGGGUGUGUGACAAUGUAAAAUGUCAACAUUAUACUUCCCAAUGGACUAUGCCAUGCAGAAGGCAGAAAGAAGUCAAAAGCCUGUUCUUUUUUUUCCCAUUCCAUAGUAAAUAGCAGAAAUUAUUCCCUUUGUUAAUCUAAGCAUACACCAGUCUGUAGGUUCAUAAUGAGAAAUAACUUUUUGUUCUUUGAUUUUUUUAAACAAAAUAUAGAAUUUAUAAGACAAACCCUUUUUGGUUUGUGUUUUAUUCCACCUUCUUUUAGCUAGAUUUGAAUGAAAGCAAAAUAAAGCUAUGUAUUGAAUAAAUAUGUUAACUCCACAGUAUUUUUGAAUAUAUAUUUUUCAUGGUAUAGUUCCAACUUUCAUUGGUGAUAUUGAUAUGAAAGUCAGAUUUACUGAGAGGUAAUGUUCAGCCUUGGAAGCAUCACCAAAAUGUGUAUAUAAGGCCUUUGUCCACUAAUGAGUGUCCUUUUAUGUGACUGGUUUUGUAAAGCCUUACACUGUGAAUGGACCGUCAAUCAACUCGCAGCUGCACUGAGGCCUUCGGAUGGCUGUAUCCAUGGCAACGUGCCAAAAAUGGCGGCGCAAAUUAAUCCAUUUGUGUGAAAUUCUCAGUGAGAGUCCACUUUCAUCUUUCAGAAACUACUGUUAGGAAGUCUGAUGAUAAUGUAAAAUACUAAGCAAAAGCAAAAUAGUGAUGGACUAUCCACAGGAUCUUCUCCCUGUAAACAGUGGGACUUCUUUUCCUUUUUAUCUGCUAGAGAUGACAGAGCAGAGUUGGGGAUGUAAUAUUACCACCAUAAUGUUCUUUUUACAAAAAAAGUUACAUUAAUUUAAUGUUCACAUAUAGGCUUCUUUUUCACCUUCUCUCACAAUGCUAUCUAAUCAGCCUGGAAAAUAAGUACAAUGAUUUACACAGUGGUA